rnacentral:lncRNA from 1 species
GCCCAGACAGCGAUGGGUUCUCUGCCCUUGCGGGGAUAGAAGUUUUGAGAAUUCAAGAGAAGGUCACGGCGAGAUGAGCUAUUUAUCAUUACGAUAGGUGUUAAGUGGAAGUACAAUGAUGUAUGUAGUCGAGGCAUCCUAACAGACUGGUAGACUUGAACCUUGUUCCUACAUGACCUAAAGUUUGGAAGACUACGUUUGAUCCUGAAAGGGAAUGAAUGGAAAAAAUAGCAUGUCGUAUUAACGGAGAGUUCUGAGUCUAUUUCAUUUUUAUCAGAUCGGUACAAAACCCUGUUCGAAUUCUUGGAACGGAACAAAAAAAAAGUUGGGUCGAAUGAAAAAAUGGAUAGGGCCUUCCUUUUUCCGAUAUAUGAAAUAGGGG